AGUUAAGAUAAAAAAUUUUAAACUUAAAAUUUAAAAAUCACAUCAACCCCAAGUGCUUAACUA
rnacentral:tRNA from 1 species